CUAAACCAGAAUAGUUGAGAAACAGCCAGUAACUCUCUAGCUUAGUUUUUUUCCAUCUUGGCUAUUUUGGCCCUACCUUUGAAAUUUCCUCGUUAAUUCCCAACAAGAAAUGUUUCAUAUUGGAUAUACAUGUGAAAUAUCCUGGGCUGCUGUGUAUAGGGUGAUUUUUUUUGUCUCAUGAUGUGCACAUAAAGUACAACCGUAUAUUUGAAAAUAUAGCUUCAGGAAAACCUGCAUUGGUUAAAUCAAUGAAAUGAGCCUUCUGUUUGAAACUGGGCAGAUGAUUGUAUUUCAUGUCCCAUCAUCAUGAUCAACUUUAUGCAUGAACAAUGCCCCCAAUACGGGCUUUCACAAUAAAAGAGACACUAUAGUCACAAAACAACUUUAGCUUAAUAAAGCACUUUUGGUGUAUAGAUCAUGCCCCUGCAGUCUCAAUGCUCAAUUAUCUGCC